GGGCUGUUAGCUCAGCUGGUUAGAGCGCCUGCGUCACAAGCAGGAAGUCGUUGGUUCGAAUCCAGUACGGCCCACCA
rnacentral:tRNA from 1 species